ACAGUCAUCUGUAAAGCGAACGCGUUCAGCCUGUUCCAUCAACCCUCACAGCGCCGCAGAAGGAGCUGAGGGGCAGGGACAGACGGUGGGAGAGGCAGAAGACAGGCUCAGAAUUUCCACAGGUUUCUUCUCUCUGCUUGUACCUGACAGCCCGGGACCCCGGCACGAGAGGAAGGGGCCCCUUCAACGCCAGCUCUGGAAAUCCCCACCUACGAGACCUUGGGCAGGUCGUUCCAUUGUUUCGACCCCAUGUUUCUUCCUCUGAAAGAGAAGGAAAUGAGAUCUAUCCCGCAGGAGUCACUAUUGCACUGAACGGAAGAGAGAAGACGUGGCAUGGAAGAGAAGACGUGGCGUAUCUUGAUGGUGCAGGUGAGGAACAGAAGCCAGAAGAAAGCGAUGUACCAUGUUGCAGAGCUGUUAACGGACACCUAUGGGCCCAUCAGCGAAUCUGCCGUGUUUUUAACCCCUCGGAACUCAAUCACCAGAAUGAAGCCCCGGGAGGAAGAAAAUUUUAUUCUCUUGUUCCCUGGACUAACUCCAGAGCUGUAUCCAGCACACGCCAGCUGCUCAAAUGAUUGUUGGCUCACUCUCUUGCUCUUCUCAGAAUAAGACUCAUCAUAAUGUCUGAUGGAACGAAAAUGGUGCCCCACCCAACCUCAGUGUUUGCUGACUGACAAUUCCCAUCCCUCCAGCAUGAGGCCUAAGGCCCAGCCUCAGCAACUGGUCCAGAGGGAGGCACAUGACCAAGGCCGGUCGCAUCUCAGUGAUUGCUGGAGAGAUACUCACUGCAUCUCCCCUCCUGGACUGGGAAGUGGGGAGCUCUAAAGCUAGAAGGUAAACACCGACUCCCAGAGCCCUUCUGAGAUCGCAGCUGGCACAGAGAAGAGCCAAGCGACAGAGAGAAGCUGGGUGGUGAUGCCCUCUCCUCGGCUCGAGCCCCGCUGGACCAGGUCACGGAACAGCAGUAGGGCUAUACAGUCCCCGUGUUCUCUGAGGGUCAGGAGCUCUACAGCGGAUUCACAGGGCUGAGAUCCCAGGCAGGAGGAAGCCAGGGCUGCAGCCAUCUGAGGGUCGUGCUUCUAGGGAACAUCUCAAGAAAGAGCAGGGCGGGAGGGCCGUGAUGAGCGAGGCCUCCCAGGCCACACGCCAUCGCUGUGGUCUGCUCUGUCCGUCGGGGACAAGUCACUACGUCUGACCUACAUGUCAGGGAGGGUUGCUAGACUCCACCUUUGUAAGUGACGGCUGUCAAAGAACUUCGAGAGCUCUGUGGAAGCCACCACAGCAGCCACACUCGAAGAUCCCCGUCAGACUCUGCUGUUCCAGAGGCAAUCGUCUACACCACCACCGCCUUGUUCAUCCCUCAUUCCCAUGUCAGGAGACCAGCUGGACCUGGGGUUUCUGUCACAUUCAACACAAAGGGAGAACCCGAACCGCUACAGAGAUCAAAAACACGUCUCAUGACGCUAAGUGUGCUGUUCCUUCCAAAACACCACAGCUGU
rnacentral:lncRNA from 1 species